GAUGAAGAACGCAGCGAAAUGCGAUAAGUAGUGUGAAUUGCAGAAUUCAGUGAAUCAUCGAAUCUUUGAACGCACAUUGCGCCCCUUGGUAUUCCAUGGGGCAUGCCUGUUCGAGCGUCAUCUACACCCUCAAGCUCUGCUUGGUGUUGGGCGUCCGUCCCGCCCCCGCGCGUGGACUCGCCCCAAAUCCAUUGGCAGCGUUCCUUGCCCCCUCUCGCGCAGCACAUUGCGCUUCUCGAGGGCGGCUCCGGGACGCGAUCCAGCAAGAUGACCACCGUCUUUGACCUCGGAUCAGGUAGGGAUACCCGCUGAACUUAAGCAUAUCAAUAAGCGGAGGA
rnacentral:misc_RNA from 1 species